UCUCCUCCUCUCGUCCCACAGCCGCCACCCCCGCCGUCUCAAUCUCUCGAUCCCCGACCACCGCCGCCGCUGUCCUCCGUCCUCUCCCCCAACCCCGGCCACCGGCGACCCCUCCCCUCCCCUUCUCUCCCACGACCGCGGUCGGAUCCGCGCUCCCUCCUCGCUCGUGACCUAGACCUAGCCGCAUGGCACGGCCAUGGCCAUGGCGGCGGCCAGAUCCACCCCCUCCCCUGCUCCGUUCCCUCGACGCCCGGCGGUCAUUCUCCCUUAGGCUACCCGCCCCCUUCUUCCUCCCGCAGCAGCUCACCCGCAGCCUUCCCCGUGGCUCUAGGGUUUUGGGGGCGACGGCGCCUCCAUUGCCGGCACGGCUCCGGCGACUCUACAGCCUCCCCCGCCAUCUACCGCGCUGAGACAGCCACGUCUCCGACUUGCCGCUUCCCCAAUGGCUGCUGCUGGACCCGAUCCCUCCUCGUUGCCUGGAUGCUUCCUCGACUCUCCCUCCUCCCCAACAAGGCCGCCGUCGGACACCUUCUUCCCCGACAGCGCCGGCUGCAGAUCCACUCCUCCACUUUCUUCUCACGGUUAUCCACAGCAUAUAUGACUCAGAUCUGACGUUUUUGUUGUGUGUCUGGUUUUCCAGGAUAUGGGUGGUGCAGUGGCCGCAAGAACACGCUCGGCAGCGUCUAGGCCGGGUCGACUAGGGCGGCUGACAGCGGUGGCUACUUCCUUACAAGGACUACAAGCUCGCCCACGACUACACGACCCUCCAAGUCCCAUCUGCAUGCCCGCUCCCUCCUCCCUACCUCCUGCAGGUCGGGUUACCCAAUGUUGGCAAAUCAACUUUCUUUAACAUAGUAACAAAGGUGGGAUCCCGCGCUGUCAACUCCAGGCUUGCGAUUAAGAAGAUAAAGGUUGAGAAGGACCCCAACAAGCCCACGCGCCCCCGAGCGCUUUCUUCAUCUUCAUCUGAGUCCUAGUCUUGGUUCCUGGUUCGAUUCGUGUUGCUUCUGUGGUGUGGCGUCACAUCCUGACCAAGGAUUUGGUGCGUGUUUCGUCUUUGCAGGGACAACUUCAGGAAGGAGUACAAGGAGAAGCACCCCGACGUCAAGCAGGUCUCCGUGAUUGGCAAGGCCGGUGGUGAGAAGUGGAAGUCCAUGAGUGAUGCUCAGGUGCUCUGCUCUUGCACACAUCUGGCGCCGUCUCCGGCGCGGUGGUGCUUCUUGAGGCGACUGGCGUGAUGGCGGCUGUGUACGGCGGCGACCACAAGCCCUCCGGUGAGUCGGUUCCAUCUUCUAGCCCUAGCUCCUGCUUUUCUGCUCCUAUAGCAUGUUCUGUUGGUUUAGAACACUGGCAGCAGUAGCCUACCAUGUAUGCAUACUAACCAGCAGGAGUUCAAUCACCUUGUGUACACUAGCAGCUUGCUUACACAGUUGUCACUUUUGCUUGUGGUAGCCAUUAUCUCACUGAAUCAUGUCUGUGUGUACUAAUCAUCAGUUAAUAGUAUUUGGCUUCUACGUGAUGGUCUGGGACUAAUUUAUGGUGAUGUGGAUAUACUUUGUGAUUUAAAGUUACUAAUUUAUGGUCUGGUGUCAUAUUAUGGUCUAAUAUUUUUUGUUUUGACUCUUUCUCCGGUGCGAGGAAAGCUAUGAGUAGACGUCGAUGAUGCCUACUGGCUUGGCUGCUACCGUGAUGCAUGCGCCGGUCAAGCAAGCACACAUGCAUAUACGUACAUGUUAGGAUAGUAGCAGAUAUUCCGAAAAUGCAUAGGAGCUCUCGGGUGCUACGCCCCCCUAUAUUCAAAAAUAAUUUAGUAAUUCAAAAAAGUCAAAAAAUCCCGGAACUUUUUACGGAAUCCAACAUGACCAGGUAUUGCACUCGUAUAAAAAGAUUUAAAUUGGAAAUCACUUUUAUUGUAUCUGGGGUCAAAGAUUUUCCAAAAAAUGCUAGAUACAAGUACUAUUCAUGCUAAAUUGUCGUCAUAAAUUUGCUUUUUUUGCCCUGAAGUCAACGAGAAUUAUUGCUUGACCAAACAUUUUAUAUGAGUAUAGUACCUACUCAUAUUUGGUUCAAAAAUAUAUCCAAGAUUUUUUUUUGGCUUUUUUUGAAUUAUUAAAUUAUUUUUGAAUAUAGGGGGUGGAGCACCCGAGUGCUCCUAAUCCGCUUCCCAGAUAUUCCCUCUAUUCAUGUUAUAUUCCUGUGUAAAUGUAUUUCUGAGAUGAUUUUGUUGUGUUAUGUAAACCUGGGAGAUGUGUUAUGUGAUGUGAUAUGAUGGAUGAUUUGAAUU